GUGCGCAAUUCAGCAGCACAUAUACUAAAAUUGGAACAAUACAGAGAAGAUUAGCAUUGCCUCUGCACAAGGAUGGCACCUUUUUGGAUAAAAUGGUAAAAUUCCUU
ensembl:snRNA U6 U6 spliceosomal RNA